CUAUCUCCCCAAAAAUGUAUGCCACUAUUCAAAACAUUAGAGCAAAAAUCGUGUAGUAUGUCAUAUGUAUAAACUAAAAGUAGGGUCUUUACUAUUAAAGACACCAAUUAAGGCCUGCAAGUUCACUCAUUUUCUUGUUCAACUUGUCCUAUGAAGGAAGUAGCUUAUAGGACUUUGGAAUUGAAGCCUCCCCCAAAAAAGUUACAAGGCAGUACUUUACUUCUUGGAUAUGAAUAUUAACUAUAUUUCUAUAAAGCAGCACCCACCUGGAGGGAGGGAGAGGGGAGAGAAGGAAUGCUAACUAUGAAUUAUGCGAUCACCCCACAGCUGAAUUCUUAAUUAAGGAAUAUUUUGAUCACAUUACAAAUAUACAAUAACACA